rnacentral:tRNA from 2 species
AGGAUAGUAGUUAAAAAUAACAUCUAAAUUGCAAUUAGAAAGAGCUUAAUUAGCCUAUCUUA